CCGUAUCUUGGCCUUGUCAUU
rnacentral:miRNA from 1 species